rnacentral:tRNA from 1 species
UCUAAUGUGGCAGAAUAGUGCAAUGAAUUUAAGCUUCAUAUAUGAGAAUUAAUUAUUCUUCAUUAGAA